rnacentral:rRNA from 1 species
CGCGUAACACGUAAGCAACCUGCCCUAAAGUGGGGGAUAACAGUCCGAAAGGAUUGCUAAUACCGCAUGUGGUCAAGAUUUGGCAUCUUAUCUUGACUAAAGCCUUGUGCGCUUUAGGAUGGGCUUGCGGCCUAUCAGCUUGUUGGUGGGGUAACGGCCUACCAAGGCUUUGACGGGUAGCUGGUCUGAGAGGACGAUCAGCCGGAUUGGGACUGAGAUACGGCCCAG